CAAUAAGCGGAGGAAAAGAAACCAACAGGGAUUGCCUCAGUAACGGCGAGUGAAGCGGCAACAGCUCAAAUUUGAAAUCUGGCUCUUUCAGGGUCCGAGUUGUAAUUUGUAGAAGAUGUUUCGAGUGUGGCUCCGGUCUAAGUUCCUUGGAACAGGACGUCAUAGAGGGUGAGAAUCCCGUAUGUGACUGGUUGCCUUCGCUCAUGUGAAACUCUUUCGACGAGUCGAGUUGUUUGGGAAUGCAGCUCAAAAUGGGUGGUAAAUUUCAUCUAAAGCUAAAUAUUGGCCAGAGACCGAUAGCGCACAAGUAGAGUGAUCGAAAGAUGAAAAGCACUUUGGAAAGAGAGUUAAACAGUACGUGAAAUUGUUGAAAGGGAAGCGCUUGCAACCAGACUUGCGCGUAGUUGAUCAUCCGGGGUUCUCCCCGGUGCACUCGAUUACGCUCAGGCCAGCAUCGGUUUGGGUGGUUGGAUAAAGGCCUUGGGAAUGUGGCUUCCUUCGGGGAGUGUUAUAGCCCUCGGUGCAAUGCAGCCUAUCCGGACCGAGG
rnacentral:rRNA from 3 species